rnacentral:rRNA from 1 species
CCUACGGGUGGCAGCAGUGAGGAAUAUUGGUCAAUGGGCGCAAGCCUGAACCAGCCAAGUCGCGUGAGGGAUGACUGUCCUAUGGAUUGUAAACUUCUUUUAUAAGGGAAUAAAGUGAGGCACGUGUGCCUUUUUGUAUGUACUUUAUGAAUAAGGAUCGGCUAACUCCGUGCCAGCAGCCGCGGUAAUACGGAGGAUCCGAGCGUUAUCCGGAUUUAUUGGGUUUAAAGGGUGCGUAGAUGGCUUGUUAAGUCAGUGGUGAAAGUUUGCGGCUCAACCGUAGAAUUGCAGUUGAUACUGGCAGGCUUGAGUACAGUUGAGGUAGGCGGAAUGCGUGGUGUAGCGGUGAAAUGCUUAGAUAUCACGAAGAACUCCGAUUGCGAAGGCAGCUUACUAAACUGCCACUGACGUUGAUGCUCGAAAGUGUGGGGAUCAAACAGGAUUAGAUACCCGGGUAGUC